rnacentral:rRNA from 1 species
AUGGAACCUGAGAUUUUUAAGUCUAUCACGGAUUAUCUUAGAAGAGAGAAUCUAUUGAAGGGCACGUCACGUGUUGAUGUCGGGGAGCAGUUGGCAAUGUUUAUGUACAUGAUUUCGCAUAAUGCUAGUAAUCAAGAUCUACAAAAAUACUUCCAACACAGUGCAGAAACAAUUCAUAGGAAGAUAAACAAUAUUUUUGGCUUAAUUCCAACUCUAGCCCAAAGAUUUAUAAAGAUUCCAAAUUCACUCCAGCCCCACCCGAAGAUUGUUUCGAACACUCAUUACUGGCCUUAUUUCCAGGUAAAGCACCACACACACAUCUCCAUAUCAAUGGAAUUUCUUAAAACUUCUCUACAUAGAUUUCUAAACCUACCAACAUUGUUGUUUCUUUUUCAAUGUGCAGAAUUGCAUUGGUGCUAUAGAUGGAACACAUAUCCCCAUCACUAUUGCUGA